UCCAGGGAGGAAGACCCCCCUUAGAUCCUUGAAAGCCAUGGAUCCCAGCACAGCUGCACCAUCCUCUCAGAUGGCUCAAGAGGGCAAAUCAGUAGCCACCAAAGGUGCUCAUUUCCUUUACAGACACUGAAGUCAAGCAGGAGGUCAAACUUCCUGAAGAAAAGAUCAGCUCACUCUCGGGAGUUUUCUAAACUGAACCUCUCUAGUCCAGGGACUAGUUGCUGCAGCUUCUCCAAGAAGAGUAAGAAACAUGCCUAAAGAAGAAGGCAGUGACCCUUGGAAGCGAGACUGGCAGUGCUAAUGGAAGGACAAGGAAGAACUUGAUUGUAAGCUCAAAUAUCCACCAAGCAAAGCACGGAGGGAAUCAGUGCUGUCAGCAGCUGGACAACGCAGUACCACACUCUAACAGGGCAACAGACCAUGUUCACUCAGGAUGUUCAACACGGUUGCUGGAAUAAGUUUCGCAAGUGUGCUGUGUCUGUAUAUUUAACAGGCAGCUAUAAUUAAGAGCUGAGGAUAGUGUGAUAGAGACAUCCAAGCUACCAGAAACAGCACCAUUCUAGCCUGCUCUUUUUGCUGUGCAAGUAGCCCAACAUCCAUUCCACGCAGUCAGCAUGUCUGCUUCCCCGUUCGCAUACCCACUGGCUUGCCCCUCUCUCAAGGCAAGGCUUUAACCCCUGCAGAUGCAGAGAACCUACCACUGCUGUUCCAAUCUCCUGAGCCUCCUCAGUUGCUUGCUUCCAUGCUGCAUACUUCCUACCCUACCGUAUCAGGGCCAGCUAAUAAGCAUCAAGCUUGUCAGCUAACCCAUGCAAUCAGCUCACCUCUUAACCAGAAGAAGCCCCAAACAAGCUGUGUUUUGAAGUAUUUCUUUGCUAAAGCAUCACUGAUAAACAGGUAUUUAAACUCCAGUCAAAGCAGUUAUAAUCCUCCUGAGCAGUCACAGCCUGCACCACAGUUUUCCAAUAUUUAAUCUACAUUUCACCUUGUUACAAGCUUUUCUGCCCUCAGUAACUUACAAAACAAAAUCAAUAGUCCAUCCUGUAACACAGCUGCCUGUAACUUAAUAAAAAGAUAUCACAAUA